rnacentral:rRNA from 1 species
UGCUUAGGAAUCUACCAAGUAGUGGGGGAUAGCCAUUGGAAACGAUGAUUAAUACCGCAUAUAUCCUACGGGGGAAAGCAGGGGAUCUUCGGACCUUGCGCUAUUUGAUGAGCCUGAGUGAGAUUAGCUAGUUGGUGGGGUAAAGGCCUACCAAGGCGACGAUCUCUAGCUGGUCUGAGAGGAUGAUCAGCCACACUGGGACUGAGACACGGCCCAGACUCCUACGGGAGGCAGCAGUGGGGAAUAUUGCACAAUGGGCGAAAGCCUGAUGCAGCCAUGCCGCGUGUGUGAAGAAGGCCU